CCUACGGGUGGCAGCAGUGGGGAAUAUUGCACAAUGGGCGCAAGCCUGAUGCAGCCAUGCCGCGUGUAUGAAGAAGGCCUUCGGGUUGUAAAGUACUUUCAGCGGGGAGGAAGGCGAUAAGGUUAAUAACCUUGUCGAUUGACGUUACCCGCAGAAGAAGCACCGGCUAACUCCGUGCCAGCAGCCGCGGUAAUACGGAGGGUGCAAGCGUUAAUCGGAAUUACUGGGCGUAAAGCGCACGCAGGCGGUCUGUCAAGUCGGAUGUGAAAUCCCCGGGCUCAACCUGGGAACUGCAUUCGAAACUGGCAGGCUGGAGUCUUGUAGAGGGGGGUAGAAUUCCAGGUGUAGCGGUGAAAUGCGUAGAGAUCUGGAGGAAUACCGGUGGCGAAGGCGGCCCCCUGGACAAAGACUGACGCUCAGGUGCGAAAGCGUGGGGAGCAAACAGGAUUAGAUACCCUAGUAGUC
rnacentral:rRNA from 1 species